CGAGAAGGACCUCUCCGAGCCGUUCGAUACCAAACGAGGUUUCAGACAAGGCGACUCCCUAUCGUGCGACUUAUUCAACCUGUUGCUGGAGAAAAUAAUUCGAGCUGCAGAACUUAAUCGAACAGGUACAAUCUUUUAUAAGAGUGUACAACUGCUGGCGUAUGCCGAUGAUAUUGUUCGACCUCAACAGCCGCGCCGUUAGUUCUGCUUUCUCCAGACUGGAUAAGGAAGCAAAGGAAAUGCGUUGAUCAGCGCCCUGAAAAUACCAAGCAUUUUCAGUACCAAUUGGCAGAGUGGAAUGGACACACUAACCACCUUGGUAAGGUUCGAGGCCAAUCUAAAACCUCUGCCGUACUUUGGGUCCGGCACCCGGUUGCAAUGCAACUCCACAUUGAGUGAUCAAACACUCUGCCCGCAUUUGGGUAUAAACCACAACCACUACGAUACUCCCCGAGGGGCCAGUCCGCAUGAGCAGGUUGGAGCGAACUCCAAGGGCUCCUGCUCCCGUGGUACCAGAAUUAAGUCUCCGGUCAGACUUCGUAUCUGAAACUACUACCAGUUAAGCUUCCAUACUGCUCUGGACUGGUAACCAGGGGUUAGAACCCAUACUCCCAUCCCAUGCACCCACAAUCCCCCUUACCUAACCUAACCUAACCUAACGUUUCAGCUAAUUGUCUUCGCCGCCUUAAUAACUCACGCGCAAACCUUUCAAACGUCCCUAGCAGUUCGGCAUUCCAGCUAGUGGAGAUCACACCGCUCACGUCUAGCCAUCAAUUUACAUAACUGAUCCCCAUUCCCCUAAAACUCCGGAUAUCUGAGUACAUUGUGCUCCACACACACAUUUGGGUGAUUCAGACAGAAUCUGAAGUCAGGGUUUCCUUCCACAAACCUGACAUCCUGGAUGUAUUGAUAAGUUACUCGACUGUUACUGCUAUUGUUCCAACAGUUUUGCGACUUAUUUGUAACUAUUUCAUCUAGAAGCCUCUUGCUUCCUAGAUAUCCCACCUUCUCUGCAUCAUUGUCAGAAAUCCAAUCAUUCUGGAGCAAUGACACCCUCAAACCCCUCCUUAGCCUGAAUACAACAGCUCGCUGUAUAACAAUCAUAUCAAGCGGGGGAGCUCCUAAUAGCACCUGCAUUGCAUCCGUUAAGACGGUGCGACAUACAGGCAAGCAAGCAGACAUAAUAAAACAUUGUAUUGAGAGGAGCUUUUGACGCCCCAAUACUGUCGUGGCUGUUUCCCAACAUACAGCGGCUCCGUAAGUAUCAACAAUGUCAGCCUGGAAAUCCAACGCAGGAAAACUCUUGCCAACAGGUGCUACUUCGGACUGAGUAGGCAAUUGAGAAGCAAAGUCCUCCCUCGACGAACAAAAACCAAACUCUAUAAGUCGCUCAUAAUUCCCGUUCUGCUGUAUGGUGCAGAGGCUUGGACGAUCACAACAACUGAUGAGUUGACGUUGCAAGUUUUCGAGAGAAAGGUUCUGCGAAAGAUUUACUGUCCUUUGCGCGUUGGCCACGGCGAAUAUCGCAUUCGAUGGAACGAUGAGCAGUAUGAGAUAUAUGACGACAUUGACAUAGUUCAGCGAAUUAAAAGACAGCGGCUACGCUGGCUAGGUCAUGUUGUCCGAACGGACGAAAACACUUCCAGCUCUGAAAGUAUUCGACGCCGUACCUGCCAGGGGAAGCAGAGGAAGAGGAAGUCCUCCACUCCGUUGGAAGGACCAAGGACCUGGCUACGCUUGGAAUAUCCAAUUGGCGCCACGUAGCGAAAAGAAGAAACGACUGGCGCGCUGUUGUUAACUCGGCAAUAAUCGCGUAAGCGGUGUCUACGCCAAUUAAUAAGAAGAAGAACGAUGGGUGUGCCCGAUUAUGAGACUAAAGAUGACAUUCUCGAUAAGGUAGUAACCUAUUCAAAUGGUUGAGAGAUAUCUGGAGGUGGAAGACAAACUUUACUCAAAUUCACGCAGGCUAUGAUAACUUAUUAAGACCGCUUUCAAAAACAUAUUCGUAUGCUCCUCGAGUCCUUUAAUUAGAAUGGAAGAGGAGAGAAACAAGCCUCAGAUAAACUCUCAAUCAGUGAAGACAUUUUGCGAGUCAUACGGCUCAGUAAACUUUGAAAAGAACUUAAAAAAGCCAUUAAACGGAGCCACCACCGAAUUAAACAAAAAAAUAUAUGGAAGCAAAAACAAAGAAUUAAAAUGUAAAUAAUUUGUUACAGAGUGGAGUAGUUUUGUUCACCUAUCAGUUUUAUGUAUCAUCCAAAACUUAUUGAGAUAGACCUAGAUAUAAAUAAUCCAUAUAGGGAAUUCAAAUCCGUGUGCCCGUCAGUCCGCCUUUCCGUGCAAGCUGUAACUUGAGUAAAAAUUGAGAUAUGAAUCUUGGUAUAUA